rnacentral:rRNA from 1 species
AACGAACGCUGGCGGCAUGCCUAACACAUGCAAGUCGAACGAGACCUUCGGGUCUAGUGGCGCACGGGUGCGUAACGCGUGGGAACCUGCACUUAGGUUAGGUAUAACUCCCCGAAAGGGAUGCUAAUACAGGUUAAUGUAUUAGGACCAAAGAUUUAUCGCGUUUGGAUGGGCCCGCGUUGGAUUAGCUAGUUGGUAGGGUAAAAGCCUACCAAGGCGACGAUCCAUAGCUGGUCGGUGAGGAUGAUCAGCCACACUGGGACUGAGACACAGCCCAGAAUCCUACGGGGGGCAGCAGUAGGGAAUAUUGGACAAGGGGCGAAAGCGUGAUCAGGCAAUGCCGCGGGAGUGAUGAAGGCCUUAGUGUUGUAAAGCUCUUUUAGCCGAGAUGAGAAUGACAGUAACGGGAGAAUAAGCACCGGCUAACUCCGUG